CCCCAUAGCCUCUCGUACGCCCACCGUGCUCAGGAUUUUCAAGCGCAUAGGUGAGUUCAUCCUUCUCCCUGUUAGGCCUGAACUCACCAGACUGAACCGCCUCUCGUGCACGGACUAGUCUCUCUGCUGCUCUAGAGAUUUCUUGGCCCCAAACUAGCGCCCCAGUGUCUGGGUCCACGCUUCCCCAUGACCGUAGAACCAAUGCUUGGAGCGCUCGCUCCAAUUCUUUGCUAUUGUCUCGGGUGUGACCCCCCUAGCAAGCAUCUCCUGUUCCAUUCGGUCCCACUUGGGAACAGCACUCUUAUAACCACCUGAUCCCAUAUGAUGGUGGUAUGCCUUUUUACUGGCAUUCUCUUUGUUUCUAUUGGCUCGUUCCUCGCCCUCUUCUGAUGUUUUGUACUGCACAAAGUCAUCCCAGAAGGCCCUCAGCUUUACAUAUUGCUUGAGGUUGAAAUCUGGAGUCUCGUUUUUCUUGACAUAUUUAUUGUACAAAGACUUCUUCCAAUUCUAGAAGAGUACUGCCAUCUUCUUCAUAGUCCAGUCAUAAAUUCGCACCUUCAACUCUUCAUCGUUGGUGUCGAAGGUGAAAACGUCUGUGACGGCUUUCCAAACUAACUCCUUGUCACGAUCAGAGACAAAACUGAUCUCAGGAGCACCUCGCUUCUCUCUCCAUUCACGAGCACUGAUCGGUAUUUGAUCUCUCACAAGAUAUCCACAGUGACUAACAUAUUUAUUUGCAUGCUCACCAAGUGGUCUGCCUGUAGCUAUCUCAAACUCAGAGAUUACAUAGCGGCCCUCCAACGGUUUCUUUGGCCCUCGUGGAGGUACGCUUCUCCCCGUAGAGGUCGAUCCAGAAGGCUACACGUACAUAUAGAAACAAAAAUACUAAAUUAAUAACCAAGUAAUAAGUCUAAAACCUAAUGUAAGAGAUGCAUUAUUUAUAUAUGUUUACAUUUACAUACCUCGCCAGUAUUUUCUUCUUGUUGCACGACAAGUUGUUGCUCAGGGGCAUUGCCCUCUUGUUGCUCAGUAGGAUUGCCUUGCAUGAUGUCGUGGUAAUCAACAAAGUACUGACUACCGUCGUCGAUUAUAUUUUGAAUGGCAGCUUCCAUAUAAUCAGGAUCAUCAUGAGGACGGUCAGCCAUUUCUAUGUCUGCAACCAUACAUAUAUAUAUAUUCUAAUAAGAUAAGAAAUACACUAAUACUACUACAAAUGAAAGUGUUGGAGUGCUCUAAAAAUAAU
rnacentral:lncRNA from 1 species